UGCCAGCCGCCGCGGUAAUACGGAGGGUGCAAGCGUUGUUCGGAAUUAUUGGGCGUAAAGCGCGUGUAGGCGGUUCGUUAAGUCUGAUGUGAAAGCCCGGGGCUCAACCCCGGAAGUGCAUUGGAAACUGGCGAACUUGAGUACGGGAGAGGAAAGUGGAAUUCCGAGUGUAGGGGUGAAAUCCGUAGAUAUUCGGAGGAACACCAGUGGCGAAGACAACUUCCUGGAUCAACAUUGACGCUGAGGUGCGAAAGCGUGGGGAGCAAACAGGAUUAGAUA
rnacentral:rRNA from 1 species